CCGGCCGGGACGGAGGCUCCUUGGAUGCGCCGCGGUGAUCACGCAGGACGGUGGGGCGCUGACAGCCGGGACGCUGCCUGCGGAGCUCGGUGAAGUGUGUCUGCCACCCCGAGCCUAAAGCUGGAUUACCAACACGGCGAGGGCUCUCCAGCAGAGGGCAGCACAAGCUCAACUCGCAGAUCAGGUCCCAGAGCAGUGAGCGCCGUCAGGAUUACUCCUUUAACAACCAUGAAAGGUUCUCCUGAUCUGAUUCCCUCUGCA